AUAGUUUGCUUUUUUUUUUUUUUUUAAUCAUCUACACUCCAAGAAAAGGUUUGAUUCUCAAAUUACUACUUAUUUUCCAGAGUUUUAAAGACAAAACAUAGAGGGGUUGUUUUGCAAAGAAUAUCUACAGGCAUGUUGGCCAUCCUCUUGUGUAUUGACAUGCAUCUUUAGAGAAGUAGAGAAACUCAAGUGGGAACAAACAAUUUAAGUGUGGAAAAGACUGUGACAGAUCACAGUUGCUCACAUCAGUACAGAAGCUUGUCAGGUCUUGAAAACAAUUUCAAGCAAAACCCAUUUUAUGUGGAAGCAGAGUUUUCUCUGAGACUGCUCUGUGCUGUUAAUCAAACAUUGAUAGAUAGAGACAAUUUGGAAAUUUCCUUAGAAAAUUCCACCAAACCACUAGGGCAGACAUCUGGCUUUAAGUUUCAGCUGCUGAAGAUAAGUUUGCAGCCUUUUGAACACUCCUAACUCUAAUGAGAGAGAGAGACUACUGAAACAACAGUGUCCUAAUUGCAAGGUAAAAUCACUACAUGCUGCAGCAGGAACCAAUCAGAACAUUGCAAAGUAAAACAAUGUAUAAACCUGGAAACAGGAAGCAGAUUGAACCAUGAAGGAGAUACCUGGCAAGACAUGAAGCAGCUCUUCCGUAGUGCUUUGAAUUCAAAAUUCUACUGCAGUCCUGUCACUAGCUCAAAAUCAUGUUCAGGAAAACAUACAUUAUUGUCAGCCAUUCAAGAAACACUGAUGUAGUGAGCUGUGCAAUAGCACUGAAAAAACAUUGGGGUGCUCCAAAACCUGUGAAUUGUAUCUACUUGGAGAAGAUGAAACCACACUGAAGGAGCUGAGAGAAACUGGAUAAUGCAGAGGGAAUUUCCAAAGGACAUGCUCUCCAAACCUUAAUUCGGUACAAUGAACUGAAGGACAAAAUGGUAACACUGAAAGAAGCUCUGUAUCAUAGAAUGUAUUUCUGAGUCUAUUUGUAGGUAUGGCAAAGGAAAACCAGGGAAUAACAGAGCAGACACUGAUUUCCUGGUAGUACACACAGUCUCACUGGCAAAGUAAUGAAAACAGCCCAAACAUCUAUUCAUUUCUUGUCCUUGGUUUUGGGCACAGAAACACAAGUUCUCCAGCAUGAUUGAAGUCUCAAGUUAAAAGUGGCAAAAGAUAGACGAAAUCAAGAAAAUGCAAUCUGUAUUUCAAGAGAAUGAAGACUCGCUUUUAAAGAAAAAUGACAGUGCGCUGUGAAGUGAAGACAUAGAUGGGGACCCAGGUGUUUCUUCCGACUAAAAGCCUCUCUGCUGGAACUUCCUGACUCAUUUCCCUGAUUACAAGACAGCAGGUGUCAAAUACAUCAGAAAAAGAACAAAGGACAUUAUCUAUCCAUACUUAAUUAAAGGCAGAAAUGCACUCAAGCCUGGCUGUCUGAACCAGAAGGUCAUUAAGCAUGGUCAAGGAGUGCUUUGCAGCAAGAUUCUGAAAAAUGGAAAUCUUGAAGCCUUCCAAGAGUUGUUAACACUAAACAGUUCAGAGUUGAGACAGAGUUUUGGGAAGAUUUUCUGAUUCCUGCCUGACAUGGGUUCUCUACGAGCAAACAUUCAGCAAGUACAAAGAGCAAUUUUGCAUGUUGCUGAACAUGCAAAAAAUGACAGUUGUGACAUACGGUUACCUAAGGAGCCCACUCUUCUCUCCUAUGUCUCUACAGUUCUGGAUUGAUGGAUCUGUCCCCUCCUUGGGCACACAGUCUAAUAGGAAUCAGACAUUGUCACCAUUUAGUGUGUUCUGCAAAGACUUGUGACGUUCUGGCAUCCAAGCUUCUCAAGUCAGACUCAUUUCUCAUGGUUGAUCGAAGGUGGAAUUUGGGGAACUUGAGGAUUAUCUGAGCCUGGGGAGGAAUUCUGCUUGGGAAACUGCAACCUGAGACAAGAGGUGCUAUGAAAUGGUGUGAGCCACACGUUGGAAAUGAGGUGCAAGUCAGACUGACAGACUUUGUAAAAGAGACCGCGUCAAUAUAAUUAACACUUUCUUGCACUAUGCCCUUUGGCUGAAUGAGGUGAUAAAAAUAACAGCACAGUUUUGUACAGCAGUUAGUACAGAAGCGCAUCUGCAGCAAAUGCACAUUUGAUUCAAAGUUACACAGACUUUUUUUUUUCUUUUUAUUUGUGGUUGUUUCUUUCAGGAAUUUUAUUCUUAUCCCAAAGAUCUGGAAAAGUAUCUUUUUUUCUUUUUUUUUCUUUCUUUCUUUCUUUCUUUUUUUUUUUUUUUCUUAAGAUCUGAAAACUGCAGUUCUCAUAUAAUUACAUAGUGGAGAAUCCAAGACAUAAAGAAAAAUACAAGGAAUAGUGAAACACAGAGAACUUGGGAAUUUGAUGGCAGUGUAGACAUUGUAAAAGGGCAAGAAGAGAACAGACACCAGCUCCUCUGUGUAAAUUCUCUCUAAAUUUUCUUUAUGCUUUAUGAAGUCUCGUUUCCUUUAUAUAUGUAUAUAUUUUUCUCCCCUACUAUUCCAAAAAUUGUUUCAUUGGCCUGAAAUAGUCAGGUUAUGUUCUAAACCCUAAUAGAAAAAGAAUUUGAAACUAAUGAUACUGAAUUUAUUUGUUUGUCCUGCAGUUCAGUAGCAUAAGUGCUUUCUAUCCCUUGGACAAACUUGCCUAUAGCAUCUGAUUUCUGCUGGAAAAUACCAUUACUGUGAUAUGCCUUUGCUUUUGAGUGCCAUGAAGAUGUAUUUCUCACAUGCCUGCUGUAUGAGUGAUUGGAUUGGCAGCUAUAAUCUUUAUGAACUUUGUAGUGCUUACAUAAUGAUCAACAUUUGUGGUGAAAAGCACUUGGAAUAUAUUUUGGUAGUUACAAGAAUACUUCAAAUGAUGAAUUGCAAGGCUUUGAUUAAAAAAACAAA